rnacentral:rRNA from 1 species
AACGAACGCUGGCGGCAGGCUUAACACAUGCAAGUCGAACGGAUGUAGCAAUACAUUAGUGGCGCACGGGAGAGUAACGCGUGGGAACCUACCCUUUGGUCUGGGAUAACGUCGGGAAACUGACGCUAAUACCGGAUAAUCCCUAUGGGGCAAAGAUUUAUUGCCGAAGGAUGGGCCCGCGUUGGAUUAGCUAGUUGGUGAGGUAAUGGCCCACCAAGGCUACGAUCUAUAGCCGAUCUGAGAGGAUGAUCAGCCUCAUUGGGACUGAGACACGGCCCAAACUCCUACGGGAGGCAGCAGUGGGGAAUAUUGGACAAUGGGGGAAACCCUGAUCCAGCCAUGCCGCGUGAGUGAUGAAGGCCUUCGGGUUGUAAAGCCCUUUUGGUAGGGACGAUAAUGACGGUACCUACAGAAUAAGCUCCGGCUAACUUCGUGCCAGCCGCCGCAGUAA